GUAGGUGAACCUGCGGAAGGAUCAUUAUCGUAGGGCUUCGGCCCUGUCGAGAUAGAACCCUUGCCUUUUUGAGUACCUUUUUCUGUUUCCUCGGCAGGCUCGCCUGCCAAUGGGGACCCAACAAAACACUUUGUAGUACCUGUAACCGUCUGAACAAACAAACAAAAAAUUAAAACUUUCAACAACGGAUCUCUUGGUUCUGGCAUCGAUGAAGAACGCAGCAUCUGACUGACUCAGGUCUGUAUUAUCU
rnacentral:misc_RNA from 1 species